rnacentral:ncRNA from 1 species
AGUUAAGUGAAUAAGGGCGCACGGUGGAUGCCUUGGUACUAGGAGCCGAUGAAGGACGGGACUAACACCGAUAUGCCUCGGUUAGCUGUAAGUAAGCUACGAUCCGGGGAUUUCCGAAUGGGGGAACCCACUGCUUGUAAUGAAGCAGUAUCUUUAACUGAAUACAUAGGUUAAGGAAGGCACACCCGGGGAACUGAAACAUCUCAGUACCCGGAGGAAGAGAAAGCAAACGCGAUUUCCUGAGUAGCGGCGAGCGAAACGGAAUUAGCCCAAACCAGAAAGCUUGCUUUCUGGGGUUGUAGGACACUCCAUUGGAGUUACAAAGAAACGAUAUAGAUGAAUCGAUCUGGAAUGAUCAGCCGAAGAAGGUAACGGCCCUGUAGUCAAAAUAUUGUUUCCUCCGGAGUGUAUCCUGAGUACGGCGGAACACGUGAAAUUCCGUCGGAAUCCGGGAGGACCAUCUCCCAAGGCUAAAUACUCCCUAGUGACCGAUAGUGAACCAGUACCGUGAGGGAAAGGUGAAAAGCACCCCGGAAGGGGAGUGAAAGAGAACCUGAAACCGUGUGCCUACAAGUAGUCAGAGCCCGUUAAUGGGUGAUGGCGUACCUUUUGUAGAAUGGACCGGCGAGUUACGAUCAUAUGCAAGGUUAAGUUAGAAAAAACGGAGCCGCAGCGAAAGCGAGUCUGAAUAGGGCGUCAUAGUAUAUGGUCGUAGACCCGAAACCGUGUGAUCUACCCAUGUCCAGGGUGAAGGCCAGGUAACACUGGCUGGAGGCCCGAACCCACGUACGUUGAAAAGUGCGGGGAUGAGGUGUGGGUAGGGGUGAAAUGCCAAUCGAACACGGAGAUAGCUGGUUCUCUCCGAAAUAGCUUUAGGGCUAGCCUCAAGGUAAGAGUCAUGGAGGUAGAGCACUGAUUGGACUAGGGGCCCCUAUCGGGUUACCGAAUUCAGUCAAACUCCGAAUGCCAUCGACUUAUCCUUGGGAGUCAGACUAUGAGUGAUAAGGUCCAUAGUCGAAAGGGAAACAGCCCAGACCGCCAGCUAAGGCCCCCAAGUGUACGUUAAGUGGAAAAGGAUGUGGAGUUGCUUAGACAACCAGGAUGUUGGCUUAGAAGCAGCCAUCAUUUAAAGAGUGCGUAAUAGCUCACUGGUCGAGUGACUCUGCGCCGAAAAUUUACCGGGGCUAAACGUACCGCCGAAGCUGCGGAUUGUCCUACGGACAAUGGUAGGAGAGCGUUCUAAGUGCUGUGAAGUCAGACCGUGAGGACUGGUGGAGCGCUUAGAAGUGAGAAUGCCGGUAUGAGUAGCGAAAGAAGAGUGAGAAUCUCUUCCACCGUAAGUCUAAGGUUUCCUGAGGAAGGCUCGUCCGCUCAGGGUUAGUCGGGACCUAAGCCGAGGCCGAAAGGCGUAGGCGAUGGAUAACAGGUUGAUAUUCCUGUACCACCUCCUUUCCGUUUGAGCAACGGGGGGACGCAGUAGGAUAAGGGAAGCGCGCCGCUGGAUGUGCGCGCCCAAGCAGUGAGUGAGAUGUAUAGGCAAAUCCGUACAUCAAUCAUAAGCUGUGAUGGGGAGUGAAAUAGAGUAGCGAAGUCCCUGAUUUCACACUGCCAAGAAAAGCCUCUAGCGAGGAAAGUGGUGCCCGUACCGCAAACCGACACAGGUAGACGAGGAGAGUAUCCUAAGGUGAUCGGGAGAACUCUUGUUAAGGAACUCGGCAAAAUGACCCCGUAACUUCGGGAGAAGGGGUGCUUCUUCAAUGGAGAAGCCGCAGUGAAUAGGCCCAAACGACUGUUUAGCAAAAACACAGGUCUCUGCGAAACCGAAAGGUGAAGUAUAGGGGCUGACACCUGCCCGGUGCUGGAAGGUUAAGAGGAUGGGUUAGCCGUAAGGCGAAGCUUUGAAUCGAAGCCCCAGUAAACGGCGGCCGUAACUAUAACGGU